rnacentral:rRNA from 1 species
UAAUACGUAGGGUGCAAGCGUUAAUCGGAAUUACUGGGCGUAAAGCGUGCGCAGGCGGUCCUGUAAGACAGAGGUGAAAUCCCCGGGCUCAACCUGGGAACUGCCUUUGUGACUGCAGGGCUUGAGUACGGCAGAGGGGGAUGGAAUUCCGCGUGUAGCAGUGAAAUGCGUAGAUAUGCGGAGGAACACCGAUGGCGAAGGCAGUCCCCUGGGCCUGUACUGACGCUCAUGCACGAAAGCGUGGGGAGCAAACAGGAUUAGAUACCCUGGUAGUCCACGCCCUAAACGAUGUCAACUGGUUGUUGGAGGGGUUUCUCUUCAGUAACGAAGCUAACGCGUGAAGUUGACCGCCUGGGGAGUACGGCCGCAAGGUUGAAACUUAAAUGAAUUGACGG